rnacentral:lncRNA from 1 species
UUGAGAAGAAAAUUAGAGCAGGAGGCUGAAUUGCAGCAAGCCAUUGAACUUCAAGGCAGAAGGUUAAUGAAUUUGCAACUGAUGGACCUGAAGAAUCAACAUUGCAACGAUCACUUCCCAUCGAGCCUCUCUGCUAGUCUUCCAACUGCUUCCGAGAUGCAGUUUCACUCUCAAAACUUGCAACAAUCACUUCUCAUCGGGCCUCUCUGCUAGUCUUCCAACUGCUUCUGAGAUACAGUUUCACUCUCAAAACAGUCAUAGUCUUGUUCCUCUGUCUGAUGACAUUGAUGA